rnacentral:rRNA from 1 species
GUGCCAGCAGUUGCGGUUAUACAUAUAGAACAAGUAAUAAACAUUUAUGGUUUAAAGGGUCAGUAGAAUUGUAUAUAUAUAUAUACUAGAGUAUAUAUUUAUAUGUAUAAUAUAAGAAUAUGAGUAGAUGUUAAAUUCACUAUAUACAUAUUAGAAUACCAUUAUAUGAAAAUAAUAUACAAUAUAUAUACUAACAUCGAGUGACGAAACUUAGAGUAGCGAAAUGGGUUAGUCAACCAUAUAGUUCUAAAUGUAAACAAUGUAUACUAUAAUAAUAACAUAAUAUUACUAUAUAUAUCAAUUAUAACAUAAUAUUAUUAUAUAUAUAUUUAUUAUAGUAUAAUAUUAUUAUAUAACAUUAAUAUUUAACAUAUUUUGUUAAAAAUAUAAAAAUUUUCUAAUAAAAAAAGAAAAAUAAAAUGAAAAAAUGAAUAAAAGAUAAAAUUUAAGUAUAUAUAUAUAUAUAUUAUGAUAUUAUUAUAAGUGAAAGCGUAAGUAUAUCACCUAAGGAGUACUAUUAUACAUAGAAACUUAAAACAAUAGACGGUUUAAAUUAUUAACAGUGGGCUAUGUUAUUUAAU